rnacentral:rRNA from 1 species
UACGUAGGGGGCAAGCGUUGUCCGGAUUUAUUGGGCGUAAAGAGCGUGUAGGCGGCUUGGUAGGUCCGCUGUGAAAACUCGAGGCUCAACCUCGAGAUGUCGGCGGAAACCACUUGGCUAGAGUCCGGAAGAGGAGAGUGGAAUUCCUGGUGUAGCGGUGAAAUGCGCAGAUAUCGGGAAGAACACCCGUGGCGAAGGCGGCUCUCUGGGACGGUACUGACGCUGAGACGCGAAAGCGUGGGGAGCGAACAGG